rnacentral:rRNA from 1 species
CCUACGGGUGGCAGCAGUGGGGAAUAUUGGGCAAUGGGCGCAAGCCUGACCCAGCAACGCCGCGUGAAGGAAGAAGGCUUUCGGGUUGUAAACUUCUUUUGUCAGGGACGAAGCACGUGACGGUACCUGACGAAUAAGCCACGGCUAACUACGUGCCAGCAGCCGCGGUAAUACGUAGGUGGCAAGCGUUAUCCGGAUUUACGGGGUGUAAAGGGCGUGUAGGCGGGGAGGCAAGGCAGAUGUGAAAACCACGGGCUCAACCUGUGGCCUGAAUUUGAAACUGGUGUUCUUGAGUGCUGGAGAGGCAAUCGGAAUUCGGGGUGUAGCGGUGAAAUGCGUAGAUAUACGGAGGAACACCAGUGGCGAAGGCGGAUUGCUGGACAGUAACUGACGCUGAGGCGCGAAGGCGUGGGGAGCAAACAGGAGUAGAUACCCUUGUAGUC